AGACAUCGUAUUACACACUAACUUAUUUGUCAAAGGAGCCUUGAAGUUGAAGACUUAAAUCAACAUUUACUCUUCACUAAAGUCACUGGCGGUCCCAGUUGAGGUACGGGGCGCUGAUCUGAUUCUCAGAUUGAAGAAGUAAACUUUGGCAUUAUCAUCUUUGUUGAAAAUUUGUUUUAAAGAUGUUUUAUCUUGAGGUGAAGGUUUUCAGCAUAACCAUAACCACGUUUAAAAAUGCCAUACAUUACUAUGACAAUGAUAGUUCAGAUAAUGGUGCAGUCAACAAGCAAUACAUUGAAUUAAAUUGUUUAUUUUGAAGGUGUGUGAGGAGAACAUAUCUAAAAAUAUUCCCAAUCGGCCUUACCUGACCUAAUUGGUGCAACUAAUUAGAAUGGAUUUAAGGCUUUGUUUACAAAGCCUUAUAUUAGUGGGGUCAGAGGUGGAUUGAGACACUCAAAACAACUCAAAGAGUAUAUAGGUAAAAGAGAAACAGCUCAACAUCUUCUUAAGUACUCUCUUUUUGUAAAUGAAGAUAUCUGAAUUAACAUAUUCAGACUCCUUUCCUCAAGUAAGGAUAAUCUGUCUGCCUGUUAUUCAGCCUCUCUGAGACGAUUGGACGUGUUUUAAAUUUCAACAUGGCUCCAUUUUACCCGACUGUUAAAACAUAAAAGAUCUCCUUGCAUUGUUAAAGUGCACAGUGGAGCCUUGAAUGGGCGGCAAUUAAAUCCUAAAGUGUAAUUUCAUACAUUAGCAGUGUGUUACAAAAUGUUUUACUCUUUUUUUAUCUUCUUGCUGAUGAUCACCAGAGUGCCGCACUCAUCUUUCGCUCUGUCCUGCCUCCCGUCCUUCCCCCUCGUCCGCAGCCCCCCGGUUUUAAAAGGCUUCUAGCCCAUCCCUCUCCCCCCCCCCCCCUGGCACAGCAUCACACACUCAUUUCAUUUCUCAUUUACAGACUGAUAAUCAGAAUGUCAUUACAGUGUCCAUACCGGGCCGCUGGAGGGGUAAUUGAGCAGCAUAAAAGGCAUUUGAGAGAGGGAUGAAUAAUACAAGUGGAGAGGGGGAUUAGGGAGGGGGAGGGGGGGUUGGGGUUGAGUGGCAAGCUGGACCGAGGCCUGCUCUCUCAGGUGUCUGGCUGCUAUCGGGUGGCAUCCGCCCUGGCAUUAUGGUUAACCAUGUCUACAUCAACGUCAUUUUUCACUUCCAGCACAUUAGAGGCUGAACAGGCAUUAACACUCAUAUGCCAAAUGGGAGGGAAUCAAUAGGAGAGUUUUAGAAGGUCAAAGUCGAGCAUCGACAGUCACUUUGGGUCAUGUGAGCCCUCUGCAUUUAAAUGCCCAAAGAGGAGACCUUGUCCUUGAUUGGGGUGUUUUUGCGACUCCGUGUGAGUCCCAGUUAGCAUCUGCAUCUGUACACUGAGCAUGUUCAUCCAGGUUAAGCCUACGUCCCACUGGGAUGGUACGCAGACUUUAUUUCUAAUAAAUACUGGGCUUCGCUUUAGUCCUUCCUCUCAAAAUCGAUCGAUUAACGAAUCACUACUCUAAACUGUUGUUCCGUCUAAAACACUACAUUUCUAUUCCAAACCUUUAAAUACCCAAAUUGAGCUUGACGCCGGUAGUUUCACUAACACACAACAAACAGAUCUAAUUUGAUACGUUUUGUUGUGUCCUCCUCCUCUCAUCCGGCCUGACUACGGCGUGGCAGCCUGGCACAGAGCCAGCCCCGUUUGGCCAUGGUGGUACAUUUCCAUCUCAUUCAUCACAUAAAGACAGAUAAUCAGAAAGUCAUUACAGUGGCUUGACACCAGCGCUCGCCCCGGGAAGACAGAGUAAUUGAGCACCACAGAAGGGAGGAGAGCAGGCUGAGCCAAGGCCGCGCUGUAAUGAAUGUGAGAUGGCGACGUGCGAGGAGAGAAGGAGGAUCUUGACUCACCGAGACAUGGACGGACUGGGAGCAAGACUGACAACCGGAGCUGGAGGGAGACGGAUACCUGAACAAAGACAACGAUGUGAAAAUAAGCAGUGGAGGAAACGUCUUAAAAAAGGGAGCUUUGACUGGUCAUGUGAUGAUUUGGUGCCUAAUUUAUGAACUGGGUUGUCAGUUUGUUCAUAAUGUUCUGCACGGCCGCUUUAAAGAGCCACGUGUGGUACAGGAGCAGGCGGCAGUUGGAGCAGCACGGAGUGGAGGUGGACAGGCGGAUCUUUACCAGAGUAAUGUGAACGGUUCACAGUUAUAGAAAUCCGUUUUAAAUUUGUACGGACUUGUCUACGUGGCAAGAAUACCCACGUCACCUUUGCCCGUGCUGGCCCAAUUUUGUGUCCUUUUUAACUAGUCUUUAUAAGUAGAGGUGCACGUGUUUUAUUGGGUUUUGCGGCUGUGUGAAUUCUCUGGGACUGCUUUCAGAUUUUAGACAUUGUUUUAGAUUGAGGUUGACUGUUUUUAACUGUAGUUUGUGAUCCAGAGUGGAAUAAAUAAUUACGUUUAAAUUCAUUUGGUUUGUCAAAUGCUUUAGGGCGCACACACCACCUCACUGAGGAAACCCUUUGGUUAGAUGAGAUCGGUGGAGUUUUCCUCCCCACUCCGGUAGAGCCAGACUGGGCUUAACCAAUGAGCCUAUUUCUUCUAUUGACUCAUAGCCAAAUAAAAAGUACACGGUGGUUUUCCAGGUAAUUAAGACCUAGAAGAAAGAAUAUUUUCAGCUAUUCUCUAUUUUUGUCUGGAUGCAUGUACACAAAUACAUACUUAAGACAUUAAGACAAUUGUUGGAUUCAACUACAUUCGGAAUUAUUAUACCCGAUGAGACGUUUGAAUAAGUGUGUGCUUCUCCAUGUAUGAUUUUGCAUUCCAUUAUGAGUGGAUAAGUUAUUUUGAAUUAUUGCCCGGGGCCCAGACAUAUUAUCAUAUUGUUACUAGUAAAACCAGAAUCUGAUGCUUCUGUUCCUGGGCUUUGAAGUGACAGCAAAGGAAACAGUAAAAACCAACACCACACCAUUGUCAGCUAUAAAACAGUGAGUGACCUUUACAUCGCACAUUCAUUUACAAAUAAUUUUGAACCUAAGAGCCAUUAGGCAAAAAUAACCAGAACUGACAAACUGUUUAGCUGAUUAGCAGCAAAGCAAUGGAAUUACCUUAGAAAAAGAAAAUGUAUGACUUAUGGUUGUAUUCAAUUAAUCCCAUUCCCUUUUAUUUCAAGCAAGUUUUUAUUCUAAUAUUUAAAACAGCUAGAUAUAUAUAGCCUAAUAAAAUCCAUUAUGACUGCACUAUAGAUCAUCAUAUCGUCUCAGUUUGGCUAACCAUGUAGAAACAAGACAAAACACCUUAUCGACACAGUUCUGAACCUAUGAUCACCACUUUUUAAACAGCAGUGCUGGUUCUCAAUUACAGUUCCUGUUCAUGCAUCUAUACUGAUGUCAAAUCAACACCAGGUGACAACAAUGAAUAUGCUUGGGACAUCAGUAAAAGUAUAAUACUUUAUAGUAUCCCCCAGGACCAAGCUGCUGGCUUUACCCUGUGAAAAUACCUGCUGUUUCUCUGUUUAUUUGUAUUUGCUUCCACUUACUAGUGGUAACCCUAAAAAGUGUGCCUAUUAUAACAACCCACUGCUAUAAGUAGUGAAAACAGUUGCUGAGGCAUAAAAAGUUUGAAUUCCGGUAGCAAAAGUCCAUUGUUGGUUUCUGUUGGCAUCCUGGAUGUCAUGCAGGUCAACUGGGUUAUCAACAAGAUAAAUGUUGUUUUCUUGGUUCUUCACCUCUUUCUUCGAUGAGUGAGUCACAAAGUGUCUCCACACACCCUCAAGCACGUUUCCACUGGAGAAACAAGGCUUCAUCUUGAGGAGUAUUGUUAGGAUUUCCUCUCAGUGUUUUGAGACAUACAAUUAUUGUCUAGACGUGCCGAUUAAAUGGACAGAUUCGCUUUUCUUCUCUUGAAAUCCUUGGUGAAAAUGCACGUGCCGGCGUGCAUAGUUAUGAUAUGGUAAAUUUGAUUCCAAGGAUGCAUUCUGACUUAAAGUCCAUGUGUCAUUAAGGCAAAAAUACAAUCUGACUCAUCACUGCAUAAUUCUAUAGGAUCCGAACACCCGGAUAGUCCCGUGCUAAAAAAUGUUCACACAAUCUAUAUAUUAGAUCAGAAAAUAAUGCAAAUCCCUAUUAGAACAAUCAGUAUCACUGUAUAUUAUAUUAUCUUAUAUUAUUAGCACCGUACCGAACCGUAUCACAAUGCUAAAAAAAUAGAAACCCUUGAAAUGAACCAUAAUGACUACGGAUAGUAGAUAUAGGCACAUUACUCUAAAUGCUUCUAAAGUGAGGCCCAUAACAAUCAACAAACCAGCAAAAAGUCCCACUGCUAAUCUACGUUAUGGCUUAAUUGAGAGAUGAUGUGGCGAGGCAGCUGUAGAACGCCACCUGCCAGGUUUGACCCCGGUCUCCAGCUCAGCUGUGUCCAACCAAGAUGCGCUGUGAUUGGCUGCGGAGUCUAUGCUUUCUCCAAGGGCACCUGCGGACCAUAAUAAGUCUAUUAUAGCGAGGGCAAAGCGACAGGCAAGAUUCAAUACUCCAAAUAUGGAACAACCAUGUGCUCAUUUGUGGCUGCCAUCCAUGGAAGCUUUGACUCGUUUUAACAUUUUUGGUGGGUUCUCUCAAACCAAAGGAAUUAUCUCAUCUACUCAUUUGUAUACAUUUUCAUGCUACCAUGCAAACGUCAUGCAACCAGUCGGAAGACAUCACGCAACUAACUCCACGCUGUAUGAGUUACUGUAACAAAGUGUAGCUUAGUCUUAGCAGUGAAACGUGUGCAUCUUCUGUG
ensembl:lncRNA